CGUAGGAUCCAAGCGCUAUCCGGAUUUACUGGGCGUAAAGCGUGCGUAGGCGGCUCGUUAAGUGCUAUGCGAAAUCAUCUGGCUCAACCAGGUGACUGUAUAGCAUACUGGCGGGCUAGAGGAUGGCAGAGGCAAGUGGAAUUUGCGGUGUAGCAGUGAAAUGCGUAAAUAUCGCAAGGAACACCAAUGGCGAAGGCAGCUUGCUGGGCCACACCUGACGCUGAGUCACGAAAGCGUGGGGAGCGAACAGGAUUAGAUACCCUGGUAGUCCACGCCGUAAACGAUGGAUGCUAUUAGUGUAGAGUAUCGACCCUCUGCGUUGAGAAGCUAACGCGUUAAGCAUCCCGCCUGGGGAGUACGAGCGCAAGCUUA
rnacentral:rRNA from 1 species